rnacentral:rRNA from 1 species
UAUCUCUGUAGAGUCUGCAUAUCAAUAAGCGGAGGAAAAGAAACUAACAAGGAUUCCCUUAGUAACGGCGAGUGAAGCGGGAAGAGCUCAAAUUUGAAAUCUUCAAGGUUCUACCUUGACGAAUUGUAGUUUAAAGAAGUGUUUUCUGUUAGAUGAGUAGCAAAAGUUCCUUGGAAUGGGACAUCAUAGAGGGUGAGAAUCCCGUAUUUGGUUAUUCAUUCUAGCUUUGUGAUACACUUUCAAAGAGUCGGAUUGUUUGGGAAUGCAGUCCAAAAUGGGUGGUAAAUUUCAUCUAAAGCUAAAUAUUGGCGAGAGACCGAUAGCGAACAAGUACCGUGAGGGAAAGAUGAAAAGAACUUUGAAAAGAGAGUUAAACAGUACGUGAAAUUGUCAAAAGGGAAGCGUUUGACACCAGUGUUGUUUUUCCGAAAAUCAAUUACGAAUGGCUUGAUUUGUGUUGUAUUGACCUUAUCAGCUUUCUGCACUUUUUUCGAGUCUUUCUUAAUGCACUUUUCGGUUAACAAGUCAACAUCAAUUUCUUUUGUUGUAAAAGAGUAUUCGGAAGGUGGCUUUCUUUUCGGAGAAAGUGUUUAUAGCCCUAUACUUCUACAAUCGGAGAGAUUGAGGUCUGCAGCGUAGAUCCUUCGGGGUUAGAUACACUUGUGCUAAGUUAUAGCCUUUCAUAGACAACUUGUUGACUAUGUUUAGUCAUGCGGCUUACUCGCUUGUGCUAUUUUACCUACGCUUAGGAUGUUGACGAGACUGUCGAUCUC